rfam:Erinaceus europaeus unplaced genomic scaffold scaffold00642, whole genome shotgun sequence
UGUCUCCUUUUUACUUUGCCAAUUGGACUUUGCCAGUUGUCUUUAUUGGCUAUUUUGGGGGCAAAAAAAAAUACCCUUUUAAAAUUCAGGUAAUCUGGGUGUGUUUUUUGUAUGCUGUCAAAGGAAACAAAA